CCUACGGGUGACAGCAGUGGGGAAUAUUGCACAAUGGGGGAAACCCUGAUGCAGCGACGCCGCGUGGGGGAAGAAGUAUUUCGGUAUGUAAAGCUCUAUCAGCAGGGAAGAUAAUGACGGUACCUGAUUAAUAAGCCCCGGCUAACUACGUGCCAGCAGCCGCGGUAAUACGUAGGGGGCAAGCGUUAUCCGGAUUUACUGGGUGUAAAGGGAGCGUAGACGGGAAAGCAAGUCAGAAGUGAAAGCCCAGGGCUCAACUCCGGGACUGCAUUUGAAACUGUGUGACUGGAGUGCAGGAGAGGUAAGCGGAAUUCCUGGUGUAGCGGUGAAAUGCUUAGAGAUCAUACAGAACACCGAUUGCGAAGGCAGCUUACCAAGCCACUUCUGACGUUGAGGCACGAAAGCGUGGGGAGCAAACAGGAUUAGAUACCCUUGUAGUC
rnacentral:rRNA from 1 species